rnacentral:lncRNA from 1 species
CAGGGAUCACGAAUUUUGCCCUCAAGUCAGGGGAACACGAAAACGCAAAAUACAAUUUGUAGAGAUAUUAUAUCAUAUGGCUCCAGCUCGAGAAGCCAGUACCAUCACAAGGAUCAAUACAAAAUUUUGCCAACAUAAAGUUUUAACCGAUAUUAUCUAAUCUACGGUCAACUCAAAAAUAUAAUAAAUUAAUAACAAAACACGUGAAGAUACAAUGUAUAAGACAACCACUGACAAGUCAGUUUCCUGACUAAUAGCUAGCAGUAACCGAAAGCCAGCUCAAACACAGAAUCUCUAAAUAUAUUUCCAGGCCGUCGUACUCUCUUAUACAGGUAGCUCUACCUCAAUGUGACAUGCGAUUUAAUGUCAUAUCAAAUAAAAAUCAUGAACGUAUUCAAUGGACAGAAAUCUGUACGGAAUUUUCAAUACAGAAAGACAAACGCGACGACUAAGGUUUAUUUGAAAUAAUUGUUGUGAUGAUCAUUAACUAGCUUGUUCAUGGGACACGAAUCAACGAAUUAUGUAUGAUUAUCACAAAACGAUGGACGAGUUGACCAGUAGAAUUUUGAUAACUAGGAUAUAAACA